UACGGAGGGAGCUAGCGUUGUUCGGAAUUACUGGGCGUAAAGGGCCAGUAGGCGGCCAACUAAGUCACACGUGAAAUCCCCAGGCUUAACCUGGGAACUGCGUGUGAUACUGGAUGGCUUGAAUUCGGGAGAGGGAUGCAGAAUUCCAGGUGUAGCGGUGAAAUGCGUAGAUAUCUGGAGGAAUACCGGUGGCGAAGGCGGCAUCCUGGACCGACAUUGACGCUGAACGGCGAAAGCUAGGGGAGCAAACGGG
rnacentral:rRNA from 1 species